UCUUUCCUGUUCUUCUUCUUCAUCACAAGUGUCGUGUGGUCCACCUGUGUAGAUGGCUUGCAUCAUUCUCCAUCCCUACCAAAGGAUUUGACAGUGCUCCCAUGGCUCAAUUCACCUACAAUAGAACCGGGAGAGACCUCUUAGUUUAGAAGAUGAGCAUUGGACUCUUUAUCAUAGGAAUCUAUCCACACGGUUGUAACAGCACCAAGUUUGUUGGGGUCUUGAAUUCCAAGAAAGUGAAAUUCCGUGAGCUCCGAGAUCAAUUUUCAAAACUCUAUACAAGUGGGAAAUUGCUGCAAAAAGAGGAAGUCCACUGACAGAACCGAGAUAUACAAUGCAGAAGCAAUGAUGUGGAAAGCAAGGAACAACCUGUGAAGAAGGAUCCUUCCCGUACUUCAAAGAACACUACAACGAUGACGUCAAAGGGUCAAAAGAGAAAAAUGUGCUUGUAGCUAUUGUCCUGAAUGACAAAAGUCUCAUAACAAAAUCCAACACGGAUGUUUUUGUUUUUGUAUCAGUGUUUAUAGAGAAGUUAUUGUUACAAAUGCAAGUCAAAAUCCCAUAGGCAUUUAAGUAGAGACCUUCAAAACCCAAUAUCUCUUUUGAGUGUGGCCUAUUACUGACGAAUUUUUAAGGGACUUUGAAUGUCCUGUUUUGAGUACAAGGGAUUGGAGAGAGGGACUGUUGAACUCGACCAUCAAAUAAAAUUUUUAAAUGAUGGGAAGAUCCUAACCAUCUGUCUUGCUGUAAAAGAAGUAUCAGGGGCGUUUGGAAGGUUGAGUUUGGAGUUUUAAGUAACCGAAUCAAAGAUUUUGUAUGGCUGAGAUUUUCAUUCUGUCAGUUUUGUUUGGCAGUUCGGAUUUUCAAUAUAUGGAAUCUAGAAACUGUCUUUGGAUGCA